AAUCGAAGCAGUGAACUUAAGCCCCAGUAAACGGCGGCCGUAACUAUAACGGUCCUAAGGUAGCGAAAUGCCUUGUCGGGUAAGUUCCGACCCGCACGAAAGGCGUAACGAUUUGGGCACUGUCUCAACAACAGACUCGGUGAAAUUGUAAUUCCGGUGAAGAUGCCGGAUACCUGCGACAGGACGGAAAGACCCCAUGGAGCUUUACUGUAGCUUGACAUUGGGUCUUGGUACUACAUGUACAGGAUAGGU
rnacentral:rRNA from 1 species